GAAGUCUGGCUUGAUCCUCCCAGGAAAGGCGAGCGCGCGGGGCUGAGCUGCCAGCCGGUCCCCAGCCGGAGCCUGGGACGGGGCGGUCCGGCCCUUACCUAUCAAUGCUGAUCACGCACAGGGUCAUGAUCGAGGCGGUGCAGCACAUGACGUCCAUGGCGAUGAAGACAUUACAGAAAAAGUGGCCAAAGAUCCACUUGCCCCCGAUGAGGUCGGUGACGCUGACGAAGGGCAUGACCGCCACAGCCACCGAGAGGUCAGCCAGCGCCAGGGACACGAUCAGGCCCUAGCGGAUUAUAAAUAAGAAGAAAAGGAAUAAAAACCUCAAAGUAUAUUAAUCAGAGUGCUGAAUAGUACUUUCAUUCUUCAAGUUUUCUGGUGUUUAAAAGCCAUAUCAAGGUGUUGCUUCCUUCUUCCCUCCUGCUGCCUGCCCACUCUUCGACAGUUAUACCAGAGACAGCUUCCCGCAGAAGAAGAAAUGACUCAAGAGCCAUCCUGUCUGAGCCCAGGACUUCUCCUUGAUAUAAUGGGAAUAACAAUAUCUCUCUCAUUGGCUAUUGUAAGGAUCAAAUCAGGCUUAAGGUGCAGAGAAGAAAAGAAGUUUAUAUGGUACAGUCCACAGCAAAAGUUCUGUGACUUUCAAAGAAGCCCACUUUAGUCUCAUACUAGCAUCAGAUAAUUAAACAGUCUCCUAGCCAGAGCAAUUAGGCAAGAAAAAGAAAUAAAAGACAUCCAAAUUGG